AACCUCUCUCCCCUUCACAAAAGUCCAACUCCUCCCCUUCAUUCCCUCCACUCGCUUCCCCUUUCAUUCUCUCUCUCUCCUCCCUCCCGUAUACUCUUCUCUUUCAUGCAGUAGCGGCUCCGUCCUCCGGUCACCAACGAGCGUCAAACUAUACCUUCAGAAUCCUCUUCCCUUCCUCUUUCCAACCCUCGAGUUAGUUUCUCCAAAUUUGUAGCCGAAUUUUCUCAAUUUCAGAUCUAAGAAACGGUGACCAUACGUAUUCCGGCCAAUUUCCGGCGAAGUCUGCCUGAAUUGGACCUCAACCAAGAGAUUGGGGACAAAUAAGGUGAAUCAAGGUUGUUUCCAACCUGGGCCGAUAAGAAUGGAAGCCUUGGAAGGUUGUGGGUGAAACUAAGGUGAAGAGGGUUCUUCUAAAAAAAUUAAGAUCAAAGAAGGAAGUUCAAUUUAUCAAGGAUCAAGGUUUGGACUGCUAGACAGCACGUUGCCUUCGGUUUGAGUUUGAACUCCCAUCGCAGCAUCAUCAUCAUCAUCAUCUGCUCUUGCUGCUGCUGCCUUUGACUGGUAUUUCCCUAUUUGCUGCCCAAACAACAGUCCUUUCAGAUACUACUUGCUUGGAGUACCAUAUACCUAUAUAGUAGUUUGAAAGCUGACCUGGUUUGAAGAAACCUAGCUCAAACAACCCACCUGGAGAGACAAUGGUUUGAUCGCCAAAGAGAGAUUGGCAUGACAUGAUUAAGCUCUUUGGAAACAGAGUGUUCAAACACUUCUCAAAGUUUGAAUCCCAACAUUUGUUCAAAAUUGUAUUAAAGAUUAGUUAUGUAAAUUUGUAGUACAUUCUUAUAUCAAAGAUCUUACAAUUUGUUUCCUCACCAAAAAUAAAAAAAUAAAAUAAAAGGAAAUAUUCCUAUUCAAA